GGAAUUAGUGUCCAUAGCAAGUAUCAAGAAACAGCUUUUUAAUUCAACGUUGAAGAAAUUCAUAACCUGUGGCACUUUUGACAGCCGCCAUGUUUUCUCCAUAAAAACAUUGAUUUUCUUUGCUCAUUUUCGUGUCAACGUAGUUUUUUUGGAAAAUAAGAAGAAAGGAAGUUUAACUUACUUAGAGAAAUACGACUGAGACAUAAACACAAGCAGCAGCCGAUGUGCUUGAGUAGCAGAAGGAGCAACUGCGUUGUGAGAGGGCCACGGCUUCAGCCCUCACAAUGAUAGCUGAUUAGCUGAAGUAAUGAACAGACAGGCUGCAGUCAAUGAGAGGCUUCUUGAGGAGGUGUUCCUCAUAUGGAAAUGAUUUUAGCGGCGACGCAGUUGCGCGACCAGUGAAGCUCUGGCUCCGCGACCGGCGUGGAGCGCGCGGUCAGCGCGGCGCUGCUGCGGCUGCUGCGCGGGAGGAUCCCGUCCCUGCGCAU